UAAAUCAUUUAAUGAGAGGCUGACACUGAAAAUAUCAAUAGUGCGAAGAUCACAGCUUCUUUUUUGAGAUCUAUGCUUCAAGCAGCAGCCCCAAGAGAAAAUCCAAUUCCCUGCAGUCGUUGUGUACUGUAGACACAGAAAGGUGUGUUACUACACAUGUCAGCACCCCCAUCCAAGUGCUCCUUCCAUCCCCAUGAAAUCACAUUGUGAGGUAUCAUUGAUGCACAGAUUCCACCAUACUGCAUCAGGACUGACCUCAGUAUUCACUUCCCAGAGGUGGGAAGAAUCAUUCCUACCCUUCUUCAAGCAAGAGGAAAAUAUGUAUGUUAAUGUUACACUUAUUAACUAUAAUUAAUUAAUUCUUAGAUUACAUACUUGAUGUGGACAUGUCACUGACUUCUGUUGCAAAACUCCUCCCAUCCUUUGACCUGUCUCCUCUAAGUGUCUAAAGAACAGAUCAGGCAGUAAAGUCAGACACCUCCGUUUCUUUCCAUGCACUGAUAAUCCAGAAGGAUGAAAGUUACAUUUCAAGAGACAAGAGAACGUCAUGGAUGCUGAUUUUCUUGGAAAGACCCACUGGUCAGAGUCCCACACCAUUAACACCUUGGAGGAAAGAUACCCCACAGUGCAAAAUAGACUAAAAACGAGCAACAAAAAUAUUAACUCUUCAGAGUGAAUAGCAUGGUUACUUGUUUACCAAAAGG